rnacentral:rRNA from 1 species
UGCGCAGGCGGAAUGAUAAGUCAGUGGUGAAAGCCUACAGCUUAACUGUAGAAUUGCCAUUGAUACUGUCGUUCUUGAGUACAGUUGAAGUGGGCGGAAUGUGUCAUGUAGCGGUGAAAUGCAUAGAUAUGACACAGAACACCGAUAGCGAAGGCAGCUCACUAAGCUGAAACUGACGCUCAUGCACGAAAGCGUGGGGAGCAAACAGGAUUAGAUACCCUGGUAGUCC